GUUUUUGCUUCGGCAAGACAUAAAUCAAAAUUGGAAUGAUACAGAGAAGAUUAGCAUGGUACCAGCGCAAGCGUGACACGCAAAAUUGUGAAACGUUCCAGAUUUUU